rnacentral:rRNA from 1 species
GCUUACACAUGCAAGUCGAACGGUAACAGGCCUUCGGGUGCUGACGAGUGGCGGACGGGUGAGUAACGCGUAGGAAUCUGCCCUGUAGUGGGGGACAACGUGGGGAAACUCACGCUAAUACCGCAUACGCCCUGAGGGGGAAAGCGGGGGACCUUCGGGCCUCGCGCUAUGGGAUGAGCCUGCGUGGGAUUAGCUAGUUGGUAGGGUAAAGGCCUACCAAGGCGACGAUCCCUAGCCGGCCUGAGAGGGUGGCCGGCCACACUGGGACUGAGACACGGCCCAGACUCCUACGGGAGGCAGCAGUGGGGAAUAUUGGACAAUGGGCGCAAGCCUGAUCCAGCAAUGCCGCGUGUGUGAAGAAGGCCUGAGGGUUGUAAAGCACUUUCAGUGGGGAGGAAAAAGCGAAGGUUAAUACCCUUGGUCUUGACAUUACCCAGAGAAGAAGCACCGGCUAACUCCGUGCCAGCAGCCGCGGUAAUACGGAGGGUGCGAGCGUUAAUCGGAAUUACUGGGCGUAAAGCGUGCGUAGGCGGCUAUUUAAGUCAGAUGUGAAAGCCCCGGGCUUAACCUGGGAACGGCAUUUGAUACUGGGUAGCUAGAGUUUGGUAGAGGGGAGUGGAAUUUCAGGUGUAGCGGUGAAAUGCGUAGAGAUCUGAAGGAACACCAGUGGCGAAGGCGGCUCCCUGGACCAGAACUGACGCUGAGGCACGAAAGCGUGGGUAGCAAACAGGAUUAGAUACCCUGGUAGUCCACGCCGUAAACGAUGUCGACUAGCCGUUGGGUCUUUAAGGAGGCUUGGUGGCGCAGCUAACGCAAUAAGUCGGCCGCCUGGGGAGUACGGCCGCAAGGUUAAAACUCAAAUGAAUUGACGG